rnacentral:rRNA from 1 species
ACGUUAGCGGCGGACGGGUGAGUAACACGUGGGUAACCUACCUAUAAGACUGGGAUAACUCCGGGAAACCGGGGCUAAUACCGGAUAAUACAUGAAACCGCAUGGUUUCAUGAUGAAAGACGGUUUUGCUGUCACUUAUAGAUGGACCCGCGGCGUAUUAGCUAGUUGGUAAGGUAACGGCUUACCAAGGCAACGAUACGUAGCCGACCUGAGAGGGUGAUCGGCCACACUGGAACUGAGACACGGUCCAGACUCCUACGGGAGGCAGCAGGC